AGUCACGUGACAGCUCUCACACGGAGAGCGCUCAGCCGCGGCGUCUGCGCCGGAGAAGCCCCCACUGACUGGGAUUUUCUCUCAGAGCGACUGGGUGGCCCGCCUACUUCACCGAGGAGAGGCCUGUUACGCUCUGGCUGUCCUAACAACUCACCUAUAUCCCCACCCUUGUCUCACAGGCCGAGGUACAGGGGGGCGGUUAUUUCCUUCCUCAGCAGCGCGGCACACAGACUUCCGGUUAGCCCAGCGCCCACGACCAGUACCCGGGACAUGGCGGCUGCCCUUCGGCUAGGCCGCUGACAGAGACGCGGAGCCUCGCCGUCCCACUCUACCACUGUGUCCCCGCGUGGGUCAGGCAGGGCGGUGCCCUGCGCGAGACGUCUGCUCCUGAGAGCGCGGAGAACCCACAGGGGUGACUGAGGCCCCGGCGACUUUCUGCCCAGGCCUCCACCGGGCAGCUUGGUUACCCGGUGAGCCCCAAUCCCAUCGUCCCCUGGAGGAUAAAUCAGGAAGUCACCGCCAGUUGGCCUCUUGAGGAUGACUGAAGUGAGGGAGAGGAGUCAGCAGCAAAGCCACAGCCAGAUUUCUUCUGUGGUUUUAUAGGCCUCUUCAGGUGACAGAGGGUUUUGAAAUCAGAGACUUUUUUUUUUUUAAUCAUUGUUACACCACCUCAGAGACUAUAAAUUAUGUGUCCUUCCUGACAUUGGCUCCUCAGUGACUGCAAAAUGUGGAAAAUAAUACCUCCUUUCCAAAGUUGUGAAGAAUACAGUUUCCGUGGAGCCACCCUUACUUCUGGAGCACAAGUGCUGACCUGGGUCAUCAGGUACUCGAUGAAUGACAGCAGAUGCAUUCACUGAACAUUCUAGAAGGAAAGAUGAGCUCAUCCAUCCUGAUCUCCAGCUCUUCACUCAUAACUGGUGGACAGCAGACCUGUGCUCUCAUGGAUAGAACUUCAGCAUUGUCCUUUUUUUGCAUACCGAUUAGGGUUCCUUGAGAAUGGCCAUCUUUCCUCUAAUAAAUUAUCAACAGUAUCGGCUGAGGAGGAAGUUUAUUGGAAAGCAAUUGAGGAGUGAGUCUGAUCCACAGGACCCACCUUUUAAAAAAAAAAACCAGGUAUGAUGUUGACUACCUGAAAUCCCAGCAAUGCAGGAGAAGAAAUAAAUAAUUUGGCUGAGCACUCAGCCUGCCUUACUUAGAGAUUCUCAAGUCAGACAAACAAAUUGUGUCUAAGGAAUGACACUUGAAUUUGUGCUCUGACCCUCACAUAAAUACCUGUACAUGAACAUACAUGAUUCAUACACAAAAUCAUGCACACACACAAAAAUUGGAAUACAGGCUUAAAUAAAAAGUAAUUGAGAAUGGUUGUAGGCAAAUGUCUGCUUUCCAUUAAACUCUUUGACAUUCUUUUAAGGCAAAAGCAGAGAUCACAUGGAAUUGUUCCCUACCUAAACACCCAGAAUUCUUUAGAAUCUUGGUUGAGUGUAACAUGUUUCUUUGCCCAUGUACUUCCUCUGCUGUUUCCCAACCACACAUCAUACCCAGCAUCUGCUAAGAUGAAGGCAAGGCUGUUGUCAGGAGGAUUGGAAACCCAUAUACCAGCAGUUGAAAACAAGUCAUGAAUACAAAAUACUACCAUCUUUGGGGCUGCAAAAACAAUCACGAAAAUACUUUACACCAUUAGAGUAUGCUGACAAUGUAAGCAAGAAAAUAAAAUACUCAUAAUGGAACUAAAAUAUUUUGAAACUUAGCACAGGGAUGUACUAAGACUUCAUUUUACUUAUGUCAGUUAUCAUCAAUCUAUAUGGAACUGUGCAAAAGAAGAGUCAUUUCUAAAGGAUUUUAUUCUCCCUACUACCUCACCCUCCUCAACUGUAAAUUCCCUUACAUCUGUUAGUCCUUUAAAUUUUUAGUUAGUAGUUAUUAAAAAGGAAUGGUUCAUACCUUAUAAAAUCCAAGAGGCAAAUGUACAAAAAUACUAAUUGCUAAACAUCCAAAGAUUAAUAUGAAGUUUCUUUUAAAUUCACUGGACUCUUAGAACACGUAGGGCUUCUAGGUGGACAUGAGGAAUGAACCAGGUCUCAUGUAUUACCAUCUGGAUCAUAAACUGUCAAUGACCACAACAGGAAACUAAGGUGUCUCCCUGAUGAAGUGUGCUUGAAAAUUAUUUAGGGGCUCUAGGCCCACGGUAGAACCACAUCCUUGUCCUCACAGUGACCAAUGAAAGCUAGGUUCCUUCAAGCCCCAGCUUUAAUCAUUGGAAUCAGGGAGCUCUGAUUGCUCUUUUGAUCACUCAGUUUGGAAGUGCCUUAUUAGUAAGUCAUUGCCUCAAGGUGCUGAUGGCUUCAGUAUGUAUCUCACUCAGAUCUUACCUGAAC
rnacentral:lncRNA from 1 species